rnacentral:rRNA from 1 species
CACGCUGUAAACGAUGAGUGCUAGGUGUCGGGGGUCAAACCUCGGUGCCGGAGUUAACGCAUUAAGCACUCCGCCUGGGGAGUACGUACGCAAGUAUGAAACUCAAAGGAAUUGACGGGGACCCGCACAAGCAGCGGAGCAUGUGGUUUAAUUCGAAGCAACGCGAAGAACCUUACCAGGGCUUGACAUGCCACUGACCGCGCUAGAGAUAGCGUUUUACCUUCGGGUACAGUGGACACAGGUGG